rnacentral:rRNA from 1 species
UCAGACGAUGCGUCAUGCAUAUCAAUAAGCGGAGGAAAAGAAACUAACAAGGAUUCCCUUAGUAACGGCGAGUGAAGCGGGAAGAGCUCAAAUUUGAAAUCUUCAAGGUUUUACCUUGACGAAUUGUAGUUUAAAGAAGUGUUUUCUGUUGAAGUUUUGGUAAAAGUUCUUUGGAAUAGGACAUCAUAGAGGGUGAGAAUCCCGUAUUUGACCAUUAUUUUCAGCUGUGUGAUACACUUUCAAAGAGUCGGAUUGUUUGGGAAUGCAGUCCAAAAUGGGUGGUAAAUUUCAUCUAAAGCUAAAUAUUGGCGAGAGACCGAUAGCGAACAAGUACCGUGAGGGAAAGAUGAAAAGAACUUUGAAAAGAGAGUUAAACAGUACGUGAAAUUGUCAAAAGGGAAGCGUUUGACACCAGUGUUGUUUUCUCGAAAAUCAAUUAAAAAAGGCCGGAUUUUGUGUUGUAUUGACUUUAUCAGCUUUCUGCACUUUUUUCUUGUCUUUUUUAAUGCACUUUUCGUUUAACAAGUCAACAUCAAUUUCUUUUGUUGUAAAAGGGUCAUUGGAAGGUGGCUUUCUCUUCGGAGAAAGUGUUUAUAGCCUUUGAUCUCUGCAAUCGGAGAGACUGAGGUCUGCAGCGUAGAUCCUUCGGGGUUAGAUACAUUUGUGCUAAGCUACAGCUUUUCAUAGACAACUUGUUGACUAUGUUUAGUCUUGUAACUUACCCGCUUAUGCUAUUUUACCUACGCUUAGGAUGUUGAUAUGCAUGACUGAUAU